UACGUAGGGUGCAAGCGUUGUCCGGAAUUAUUGGGCGUAAAGCGCUCGCAGGCGGUUUCUUAAGUCUGAUGUGAAAGCCCACGGCUCAACCGUGGAGGGUCAUUGGAAACUGGGAGACUUGAGUGCAGAAGAGGAGAGUGGAAUUCCACGUGUAGCGGUGAAAUGCGUAGAGAUUUGGAGGAACACCAGUGGCGAAGGCGACUUUCUGGUCUGUAACUGACGCUGAGGCGCGAAAGCGUGGGGAGCAAACAGG
rnacentral:rRNA from 1 species